rnacentral:tRNA from 1 species
GGGGGCUUAGCUCAGCUGGUUAGAGCGCCUGCCUUACAAGCAGGAGGUCACUGGUUCGAGUCCAGUAGCCCCCACCA